AACGUAGGACGCAAGCGUUAUCCGGAGUUACUGGGCGUAAAGCGCGGGCAGGCGGCUCGAUGCGUCUGAUGUGAAAUCUCCUCGCUCAACGGGGAGAGGCCAUUGGAAACGGUCAAGCUGGAGGGCAGUAGAGGUAGGCGGAAUUCCGGGUGGAGUGGUGAAAUUCGUAGAUAUUCGCAAGAACACCAGUGGCGAAGGCGGCUCACUGGCCCGAUACUGACGCUGAGGUGCGAAAGCGUGGGGAGCAAACAGG
rnacentral:rRNA from 1 species